rnacentral:ncRNA from 2 species
UUAAUAUUUACGAUUUUAGGUGCCUAGCUGUAGGUGAAAAGGGAAUGUGGUUAGAAUCCACAACAGCCCCCGCUACUGUAUUUGAUUACGAACCUUCAUUAACCACUGAAAUGCUAUUAGCAUUUUGGGAAGGGAAAGGUGAGGAUAAAUCAUAAGUCAGGAGACCUGCCUAAAAACGUUUGACGUA